AAGACCGCACUCUAAAGGAUCAUUUCUUUAGUCUGCAUCCCGUCUUUGUUGCUCAACAAAGACAAGUCUCCCAUGCAGGUUGAUGAGCUAUAACCUCGUUGCUUGAGCGCGAAGUGGAGGCGUGUUCUAAUGCAAGGCUGUCAAAAGCCAUGCAGCCGCCUCGUUAAUGAACGCCUUCUCGACGUUUGCCUGUGCUGUCUCGUUGCUCAUGCAACCGAGCUCACGUUGUGCGCGCCGAGGAGAGGCAAUGGGGUAGUCUUACUGCAG
rnacentral:snoRNA from 1 species